AUGACCUCAUCAGGGACUUCCACUGGGAGCUUCCUGACAAUCCUGGGCUGUCUUGAGUCGGCUGUGGAAGAGAGAGAGAGGGGGUUACUGUCACGUCUAACGUAGAGUAACCCCCUCUCAUCUUCUAGUGUUCGUGUACGCAGAACAUGACUUGAAUGGAGAGAGUGAUUGGCGUCCAUUCAGCAAGUAAACAUGAAUAAACUCAGCAGGUCAUGUGACAGCAGCCACGGCCCAAUCCCAGAGCAGCCGACCAAUCAAACAUCGUUUUCCAGCCCGGCUCUGGUCCUGCCGGAGGACGGGAGAAACACCCGACGGAGAGGCAAUUAAUCUGAAAACAAAACAAGAAGGAGGAGUGAGGAAGUCGGCGUCCGGGGUGACAGAGGGGUUUCUGGGUAAUGAGGGUGCUGAGUAUUGAAUUAUCAGAUCUGGUGUGGACGUCGACACUCGGGACGGACGACGCUUUGAACUGAAAUAAGGACAUUUCCAGGUUUUCGUCACAUCAGCAGAUUUCUGUCUCGUCCUUUUUGUGAUACCCGGACUCUUUCUGUCCUCGCUGCAGUCUGAGAAAUGAUGUGUGCACAGGGAUCAUCAGCUGCUGAGGUUUCUGACUGUUACACCUGCAAAAGAAACCUUGGCGUCGUCCAACAACAGAACACUCUCUACAAUAUAAAGGAUUUCAAAAAAAGGGGGAUGAUCUGAGCAGCAGUGGUGGUAACUAAAGCAGAUAAAUGCUUUUGGGAGAUCUGUUUCUUGGACUCAAUUUUCUGUGGUUCAAAAUUAAAUGAAAAACAUUCAUCCACGUA